GUGCCAUGGUCUGGGAAGCACAGCAGUGUUGGAUCAAGGGUUGGACUUGAUGAUCUCGGAGGUCUUUUCCAACCCAGCUGAUUCUGUGAUUCUCUGAUUCCCAUUCCUAUGGCAGCACAUGCUUGAGGCUCUGUCCACAGGGUGAUAGAGAUGUCUGUCCAUAUCUAUCUCCAAGGUUCCUGUCCUUGAGUCCAGGCCCUGAGGUGAGGCUGAGAAGUGGCGCGGAGGUGAGGCCAGAGCUGUCCCUGAGGUGAGCCUGAGAAUAAGUGCAAGGCAGAGGUGCUGCUGAGGAAGGAGAGCCCCGUGGUGGGGAAGAGAUAGAGCUGUGAUUGCCCAUCCCCGAGAAGGUGCUGUGUCCAUCCCCUGUGUGCCAGGACACUCCCGCCAAAUCUUUGGUGGGGCCUUUUGUGUCUAUUCCUGGUUGCUGAUUGAUGCUGGGAACCUGAGGGCCCCUCUGCAAUCCCAUCCAUGGGGCACAAUCUCCUCUGCAGAGCUUGACUCCCUGCAGACUUUGCAGGGA